rnacentral:rRNA from 1 species
UGAGGAACAUGACCUUCGGCGGGGGAUAGCCGGCCCAACGGCCGGGUAAUACCGCGUACGACCACAUGGGGACAUCCCUGAGUGGUGAAAGCAGCAAUGCGCCGAUGGAGUGCCUCGCGGCCUAUCAGCUAGUUGGGUGAGGUAACGGCUCACCAAGGCGACGACGGGUAGCUGGUCUGAGAGGAUGGCCAGCCACAUUGGGACUGAGACACGGCCCAGACCUNUACCGGGAGG